AGUGAACGCUGGCGGUAGGCCUAACACAUGCAAGUCGAACGGCAGCACAGUAAGAGCUAGCUCUUACGGGUGGCGAGUGGCGGACGGGUGAGGAAUACAUCGGAAUCUACUUUUUCGUGGGGGAUAACGUAGGGAAACUUACGCUAAUACCGCAUACGACCUACGGGUGAAAGCAGGGGAUCUUCGGACCUUGCGCGAUUGAAUGAGCCGAUGUCGGAUUAGCUAGUUGGCGGGGUAAAGGCCCACCAAGGCGACGAUCCGUAGCUGGUCUGAGAGGAUGAUCAGCCACACUGGAACUGAGACACAGUCCAGACUCCUACGGGAGGCAGCAGUGGGGAAUAUUGGACAAAGGGCGCAAGCCUGAUCCAGCCAUACCGCGUGGGUGAAGAAGGCCUUCGGGUUGUAAAGCCCUUUUGUUGGGAAAGAAAAGCAGCAGGUUAAUACCCCGCUGUUCUGACGGUACCCAAAGAAUAAGCACCGGCUAACUUCGUG
rnacentral:rRNA from 1 species